CCUACGGGUGGCAGCAGUGAGGAAUAUUUGUCAAUGGACGAGAGUCAGAACCAGCCAAGUAGCGUGAAGGAUGACUGCCCUAUGGUUUGUAAACUUCUUUUAUAUGGGAAUAAAAUGUUCCACGUGUGGGAUUUUGUAUGUACCAUAUGAAUAAUGAUCGGCUAACUCCGUGCCAGCAGCCGCGGUAAUACGGAGGAUCCGAGCGUUAUCCGGAUUUAUUGGGUUUAAAGGGAGCGUAGGUGGAUUGUUAAGUCAGUUGUGAAAGUUUGCGGCUCAACCGUAGAAUUGCAGUUGAAACUGGCAGACUAGAGUAAAGUAGAGGGGGGAGGAAGUCGUGGUGUAGCGGUGAAAUGCUUAGAUAUCACGAAGAACUCCGAUUGCGAAGGCAGUUCACUGGACUGCAACUGACACUGAGGCUCGAAAGUGGGGGUAUCAAACAGGAUUAGAUACCCGAGUAGUC
rnacentral:rRNA from 1 species